rnacentral:rRNA from 1 species
GACGUAGGGCGCGAGCGUUGUCCGGAUUUAUUGGGCGUAAAGAGCUCGUAGGCGGUCUGUUAUGUCGGAUGUGAAAGCCCUUGGCUCAACUGAGGAAGUGCAUCCGAAACUGGCAGGCUAGAGUACUAAAGAGGAUCGCGGAAUUCCCGGUGUAGAGGUGAAAUUCGUAGAUAUGCGGAGGAACACCGAUGGCGAAGGCCAAUCCCCUGGGCCUGCACUGACCGCUCAUGCACGAAAGCGUGGGGAGCAAACAGG